rnacentral:lncRNA from 1 species
GAAGCAUCCCUCUUUUCCCCUCCGCUCCUGCUCCAGCACACAAUGUGAUCCACCAGCAAGGAGGGACUCCAAUAAGGCGUCCGAUAAGAUAAGUCUUAUAAAAUAUAUAGGUUUAUGAUAGUUAAGACAGAGCUAACAGAUGAGAUCCUAGUCAUUGGCCAAGCAGCAUUGUACCUAAUACAAGUUUCUGUGUAUUCAUUUGGGCCUAACUCGGGCAGGCAGCUGAGCUCACUCGUGGCGGUGGGGCUUGGGCGGCUUUUGGCAGAAAGAUUUACUGUAACAGAUCCUGAAGUAUAUAAGAAAGUUAUCUGAUUCAAGAUACAGUCAGAAUGCAAUAGGUUACCCCGUAGAAUUCAUUCCAGUCUUUCACCUGUGGACAUAUUAUGCCUGACAGGUGAGAAUUGUGACAUGUGUUGUCCACAUCUAAGUAAGACCAUUGAUGGCUUUCUCCCUCAGAGGCCUUCAUAGAACCUUCCAGAAGUAUAAAAAUUAGCCAGCAGGGGGGAGGUUUCCAGUUUAGUUUCACUUUGGUUUCUGUGUCCUACAGUGUGUUGCCUUCAAGAAUGUAAAUCUUACGAAACAGUCUGAUGGGCAACCGAGAGCAAUGGUAAUAGCUUUUAUUACUUUUGGAGCCUCUGAGGCCUUCUUGACCAACAAUUCAUAGGGAGGUAUUCCAUUCCUGUCACAGGGAUUUUCAUUUAAACCUGUGGCUACUGUGAGAAGCAUUGUUUUAAUAUAAAAAUAAUCACAAGAUUUGAACUAUAAAGGGAUCAUUUAAUAUAAAGGUUUUUUCACCUUAUAUGCCAGCCUGUAAUUAACUAUGAAGGUGCUACUAGGGUGUUAGCUUUAACUUCUUCCAGUGGGAUAGGAUGGAAAUGGAUUCUGGUGUUUCUGCUCAUUUAACUUUGGGACGUAGAAUAUAAUAGCUGCCCUCAUCAAAUUCACAUUUGUAAUCUAUAAACCGGAUUGCUAAUAUCUACAUCACAAGUCCCUAGAGUGCAAGGACUCCAUGGAACAAGCAGGGCACACACAGCAGUGUGAAUUUUCUUCACAGUCUGGAUUCUUGAAUAAGAAUAGUUCCUGCCUAGGUGCUCUCCAAAACACACUAAUCUUUCCCUCAUAGAGUUACUGAAGGUGUGAUCAACUAUAACAUUGAUUCCCCAAAGUGCCUAGCAGGUCUGAGAGGAAAAGUUCUUGCUCUCUAUUUCUUGCUUUGAAGUAAUUUCCCAUUGUCUUGCUUCCUCUUCUUCUUUCAAAUCUUGCCUUCCUUUCUGGGAUCCCUCUCACCCUCUCUUCAUUUCCCCUUUCCUCCCUCCACUGAAGUUGAGUGUCAUCACAUGACACAUAGUGAUGUGACUCUUGAUAUGUUUUUCAUUAAAGCACUAAUGCUACAUGUCUCGAGAUGCACUGCUCUGGGAGCUUUGCAGAGUUUCCAAGAUGAAAUCUGAUGAUUUCUGUUUCUCUCCUUUAUUAGAAACUCAAUGAAUUUGGCUGUAUCACAGUGUGGGGCACUCAGAGAGACCACAUUCCAUGACAAAUCCACUUACUUAGUGGCUUGUGCUCUGUGUUUAGGGACAGUGGUUGGAGGCUUGGCAAGAUUGCUUGGCAAGAAUCCACAAGCCUUAUUUGUCCCUCUUAUAAAGAGAUAGCUUCUUCCUCAUUCAGUCCUCCUAGAUGAAAUUGAGAGGUCAUUUCUGUAUGAGAAUUGGGCAUAGAAAUUCAGUUAAAUUUGUAUUUUCCCAAAUCUAAGGAGAAGAAACAUUUGCAUCUCCAUUACCUCAUAUGGUUGGUACUAUUUCAAUAUAUGUCCUUCACAUUUGCUUGGGAAAAUUUCAAAGGCUAAGUUAGGUCACAUGAAGCUCCAUUUGAAUCUUAUCUACAGAAUUGUUAUAUUCAUCUAUACAUCCAUCUAUCUAGCAAGCCAGUCAUCAGUCAUUAAUUCAUGUAUCUGUACAUCUGUUGAACCAUUCAUUAAUAUCUUAAAAAUAUUUAUUAAUCUUUUUCCUGUGUUUUAAAUAUUUUUAAACUUUUGUCACAAAUAGAUAGCCUGGAACUCAUUGUGUAGAUCAGGCUGGCCUCAAACUUACAGAAACCUGCCUUAAUACUGAGAUCAAAGGCAUGAACCAUUAUGCCCAGUGUGUGUGUGUGUGUGUGUGUGUGUGUGUGUGUGUGUGUGUGUGUGCUGUCUUAAAAACAAUUUUGUGUAUGUUGUGUUGCAUGUAUGGUAUAUAUGAUGUAUGUACUUGUUUAUAUAGAUGGGUACAUUGUACCUACAUGGCUUCUGUAUACCAGUUUUUGGAGAUAGGAUCUCUCACUGAACCCAAAACUCUUCAAUUUUUGAAUGGCUAAACAGACAACCUGUCUACCUCCCUGUGGCCCUCCCUAAACUCUGAGAUUACAAAUGUGUGCCAUCAUACAUGGCUUCUUGGAAUCCAAAAUCAGGUCUUCACGAUCUCAUCCCCAGAUCCCUGUCCUAUGUUCUGCUGGAGAUUUGUCCUAAGCACUCACAGGAAAUGCUGAAUAAAUUUCAUUCAGAUCAUUCCACCAAGGUGUUUGCCGUCUGGUGAAUAAGUGGGUGUGGGGAGCCAGAUCAACUGAAGACUUUCUCAGAGGCCCCAUGAAAGGAAAAAGGGGCUUUGCAAGGCUGGUCUAGGUCUUGGAGCCAGUGCCUUGAAAGAGUUAAGGUUGUGGCUUCUAAGGACCGAACUCUUUCCUUGGGGCUGUCAUUGUCAGUCUUUUAGCAGCUCUAUCUGUGUUCUCUUUGCUAACUUUGUCUGACUUAGCCCUCUACUGAUCUUGGCAGAUUUUCCACUGCAAAUUGUAUAUGAGAUGCUGUACUUUUCAAAAUGUUUUUUAUUUUAAAACAAUCUUUUCUCAUUUUGCAUACCAAUCCCUGUUUCCACUUCCUCCCCUCCUCUUGAUCUCCCCGCCUCCCUCCUACUCCACUCCACCCCAUCCACUCCUUAGAGAGGGUAAGGCUUCCCCUGGGGAGUCAACACAGUCUGGCACAUCACUUUGAGUUAUGACCAAGGCCCUCCCCCCAUAUAUAGGCUGAGCAAGGUACCCUCCAAAGAAAAUGGGCUCCAAAAAGUCAGUUGAAGCACUAGGGAUAAAUCCUGGUCCCACUGGCAGUGGCCCCUUAGACUGCCUGAGCCACACAACUGUCACCCACAUUCAGAGGGCCGAGUUUGGUCUUAUGCAGGUUCCCCUGCUGUCAGUCCAGAGUCAGUGAGCUCCCACGGAAUGCUGUACUUCUUAAUAAUCUUGCUUGGCACCUGGUCCCAGCUAUUGCUUUUGUCUCCUUUAUGUCUCAUUUUCUUGGCACCUGGUCCCAGCUAUUGCUUUUGUCUUUAUUUCUUGUUUUCUUGAUUUCUCAUGCUUGGAUUUCUAAUCAGCACCUCACCAUAUGGGACCCUUACUCCUGCUGGUUUGGGACAAGUGGGUACAGGCAUGAAGAUUUGAAUCAAACAGGAGUCUGUUUUCUUUGAGUCCUGAUGGGUGUGGAGCUUCAGGGAUAGGCUGGUUGGAUCAGCAGCAUUCCCAGUUCAUCCUGAAAGACCUGAGACAGCUAUAUAAUUCACAGGGUUUGAGGAGGCUUCCAGUAUCCAGAAAAACAUGUUUAUAACAUCAAAGUUCCAGAUCAGCGAUCUGAGCUCAGAAAUUUCACAGGCUGCGUUUCACUGGAUAUUUGGUUUCAACAUGGAUUGUAAACCAUAGCACCUGAAAUGACUGAAACAUGUGAACCCACUGGCAAGCUGGUGAACACAGCAUCUGAGAUAUGAAGAGCACACUUGUGAACAGAACCUUGAGCCAAGAAGACAACAGGCCUUUGAGCUGCAUCAUGAGGCUGAAUGACACACACCUUUAAUCCAGACCUCCAGGCUGGAAGCCACACCUUUAAUCCUAGCCACACCUGCAGGAAGAACAAGGGAAGAAGGGUGUGUUCUUUCUUUGCCUGUUUGCCCUUGCCUUGCCAGCACAUCCUUUCCUUCACUGGCAUUGGAGCCUAAUUCUUCAGGAUUCCAACAUAUAUGGAAGACCAGCUGAGACGUCCAGCCUCAUGGAACUGAGCAACUAUAGGUUCUUGGCCUUUCCAUGCAGUCUGUCCAGAUGUAGAAUUCCCAGCUCCUUCUCCAGCACCAUGUCUACCUGUGUGCUUCCAUGUUUCCCACUAGGAGGCUGGGUGUGUCUGAGAGGCCCUGGACUGCAGGACAAGUUUUUAUUCCUGGUGUAUGAGCUAGCUUGUUGGAGCCCAUUCUCUAUGGAGGGAUUCCAUGCUUAACCUUAAGUUGGGGCUGGGGUGGG